AUUGGGUAACGACAGCUCACUGGUCGGCGUCCGGUGGAACUACACACCUUGGGGCCGAGAGACUCAGCGGGUACCUCCGGGGUAGGAGUGAAAUCCUGUAAUCCUGGACGGACCACCAAUGGGGAAACCACGUUGAGAGACCGGACCCAACAGUGAGGGACAAAAGCCAGGGUCUCGAACCGAAUUAAAUACCCGGGUAGUCCUGGCUGUAAACCAUGCUCGCUAGGUAUGUCACGCGCCAUGAGCACGUGAUGUGCCGUAGUGAAGACUAUAAUCGAGCCGCCUGGGAAGUACGUCCGCAAGGAUGAAACUUAAAGGAAUUGGCGGGGGAGCACCACAACCGGAGGAGCCUGCGGUUUAAUUGGACUCAACGCCGGACAUCUCACCGGUCCCGACUGUAGUAAUGACAUUCAGGUUGACAACUUUACUCAACUCUACAGAGAGGAGGUGCAUGGCCGCCGUCAUCUCGUACCGUGAGGCGUCCUGUUAAGUCAGGCAACGAGCGAGACCCAUCACUUCUAUUUGCCAGCAACACCCCUGUGGUGGUUGGGUACACUAGGACGACUGCCAUUGCUAAGAUGGAGGAAAGAAUGGGCAACGGUAAGUCAGUAUGCCACGAAUGGACCGGGCAACACGCUAGCUACGAUGGCUCUGACAGUGGGAUGCAACACCGAGAGGCGAACCUAAUCUCCAAACGUACUCAUAUUUCGAGAUUGCGCUGCUGACACCCGCUCGCAAGAAUCUGGAUUCGGUAGUACUCGCGUGUCAAAAGCGCGCGGUGAAUACGUCUCUGCUCCGUGCA
rnacentral:rRNA from 1 species